rnacentral:rRNA from 1 species
CCUACGGGAGGCAGCAGUGGGGAAUCUUGCGCAAUGGGCGAAAGCCUGACGCAGCGACGCCGCGUGCGGGAAGAAGGCCUUCGGGUUGUAAACCGCUUUCAGGAGGGACGAAGCUACUCGGGUUAAUAGCCCAGAGGGUGACGGUACCUCCAGAAGAAGCCCCGGCUAACUACGUGCCAGCAGCCGCGGUAAUACGUAGGGGGCAAGCGUUGUCCGGAUUUAUUGGGCGUAAAGCGCGUGUAGGCGGCUAUACAGGUCCGUUGUGAAAACUCGAGGCUCAACCUCGAGACGUCGAUGGAAACCGUAUGGCUAGAGUCCGGAAGAGGAGAGCGGAAUUCCCGGUGUAGCGGUGAAAUGCGCAGAUAUCGGGAGGAACACCAGUAGCGAAGGCGGCUCGCUGGGCCGUUCCUGACGCUGAGACGCGAAAGCUAGGGGAGCGAACAGGAUUAGAUACCCUGGUAGUCCUAGCCGUAAACGAUGGACACUAGGUGUGGGGGGAGUCGAAUCCCUCUGUGCCGCAGUUAACGCGUUAAGUGUCCCGCCUGGGGAGUACGGCCGCAAGGCUAAAACUCAAAAGAAUUGACGGGGGCCCGCACAAGCAGCGGAGCAUGUUCUUUAAUUCGAUGCAACGCGAAGAACCUUACCUGGACUUGACAUGGUGCUGCAAGCGCACGGAAACGUGUGUCCUUCGAGGGUGCACCACAGAUGCUGCAUGGCUGUCGUCAGCUCGUGUCGUGAGAUGUUGGGUUAAGUCCCGCAACGAGCGCAACCCCUGUGGCGUGUUGCCAUCAUUAAGUUGGGGACUCACGCCAGACUGCCGGUGACAAACCGGAGGAAGGUGGGGAUGAGGUCAAGUCAUCAUGGCUCUUACGUCCAGGGCUAGAAACGUGCUACAAUGGCUGAUACAAAGGGUUGCAAGACCGCAAGGUGGAGCGAAUCUCAUCAAAGUCAGUCUAAGUUCGGAUCGCAGUCUGCACUCGACUGCGUGAAGGCGGAGUUGCUAUAAUCGCGCAU